UACGAGGGGGGCGAGCGUUGUUCGGAAUUAUUGGGCGUAAAGGGUGCGUAGGCGGUUUGGUAAGUCUGAUGUGAAAUCUAUGGGCUCAACUCAUAGUCUGCAUCGGAAACUGCCGGGCUUGAGUAUGGGAGAGGUGGGUGGAAUUCCUGGUGUAGCGGUGAAAUGCGUAGAUAUCAGGAGGAACACCUGUGGCGAAAGCGGCUCACUGGACCAUAACUGACGCUGAUGCACGAAAGCUAGGGGAGCAAACAGG
rnacentral:rRNA from 1 species